rnacentral:rRNA from 1 species
ACGCUCGACACCUAUGGGAGGCAGCAGUGAGGAAUAUUGGUCAAUGGGCGCUAGCCUGAACCAGCCAAGUAGCGUGAAGGAUGAAGGCUCUAUGGGUCGUAAACUUCUUUUAUAUAAGAAUAAAGUGCAGUAUGUAUACUGUUUUGUAUGUAUUAUAUGAAUAAGGAUCGGCUAACUCCGUGCCAACAGCCGCGGUAAUCUGAGCGGGCUGGCAGGC